GGAGGCGUGGCCGAGUGGCUGAAGGCGACGGUCUUGAAAACCGUUAGGCUCGAAAGAGUCUCGGGGGUUCGAAUCCCUCCGCCUCCG
rnacentral:tRNA from 1 species